rnacentral:rRNA from 1 species
UACGUAGGGUGCAAGCGUUAAUCGGAAUUACUGGGCGUAAAGCGUGCGCAGGCGGUUGUGUAAGUCUGUCGUGAAAUCCCCGGGCUCAACCUGGGAAUUGCGAUGGAGACUGCAAGGCUUGAAUCUGGCAGAGGGGGGUAGAAUUCCACGUGUAGCAGUGAAAUGCGUAGAGAUGUGGAGGAACACCGAUGGCGAAGGCAGCCCCCUGGGUCAAGAUUGACGCUCAUGCACGAAAGCGUGGGGAGCAAACAGG